rnacentral:rRNA from 1 species
GAUGAACGCUGGCGGCGUGCCUAAUACAUGCCAGUCGAGCGAACAGACGAGGAGCUUGCUCCUCUGACGUUAGCGGCGGACGGGUGAGUAACACGUGGAUAACCUACCUAUAAGACUGGGAUAACUUCGGGAAACCGGAGCUAAUACCGGAUAAUAUAUUGAACCGCAUGGUUCAAUAGUGAAAGACGGUUUUGCUGUCACUUAUAGAUGGAUCCGCGCCGCAUUAGCUAGUUGGUAAGUUAACGGCUUACCAAGGCAACGAUGCGUAGCCGACCUGAGAGGGUGAUCGGCCACACUGGAACUGAGACACGGUCCAGACUCCUACGGGAGGCAGCAGUAGGGAAUCUUCCGCAAUGGGCGAAAGCUUGACGGAGCAACGCCGCGUGAGUGAUGAAGGUCUUCGGAUCGUAAAACUCUGUUAUUAGGGAAGAACAAAUGUGUAAGUAACUAUGCACGUCUUGACGGUACCUAAUCAGAAAGCCACGGCUAACUACGUG